AGCGAAGUACACGUUGUUACGGGAUCACUUGUCUUGUACGUUUCCCUCUUCUUCAUGGCUCGUUAUGACACCUGUCAGUGUUACAACUAAAGUAAACAACAGAACGAGGGCAUGUCUCUAGGAACAAUCAAGACCAAGAUAAAAAGAAGAAAGAGAAAUCAAAACGCUGUGAAAAAUCGGAAGGAACUAGCCGAGAUAGGAAACUGAGCACAACUGGAAGAGUGCCCGUUCAAGAACAUAAGCACGAGGAAGGAGAAAGAGCUGGCGAAAUAGGCAAGAGAACAGCGAGAGCUACACUCGAGAAGAAGUCGAAAUCCUAAGACGAGAGACUGAAGCCAAAUUGGGAGUGAAUCAGAUAACGCCUUGGUACAAGAGACGUUUCAAAGGAAGUUACCGAGUGGAGCAGAGGCAAGGAAGGGGCUCCGGGCACUUAAACGGCUAGGAGGUUGUUCUCGAACUAGUGAGCGCAUAUAUCGGAGGAAGACGAGGUCGAUAGGAAGGUAGGGAUCAACGAGACAGCGGAGCAGCAGAGCGGCAGCAAAACUCAGGUUGUAGAGACGCGUUGAGGAAGAAGCGAAAAAUCUGAGCCAGAAGGAGUGGCUAUAAUAGAGGGUUUUUCCUAGGUUCCAAAGGAUUGGGGAGUGAAAGGGAGAACUGAUAAGAGGCGGGAAAAAGCCCUAGAAGCGAGAGGAAUCGGGGGGAGAAACUCGGAAGUGCGCAAAAUAGGGGCUUCCUCCCUUUCCUUUGGUUUUUGGUACACAAAUGAUGAAUGCUAAGGAUACUUGAGAGGUUGGGAUUUGUACCUUGCCGGGUGCAGCAGUUUUAUAUGCAUCAAUGGCUUGGAGACACAUUGGGAAGAAGGAUAUCCAUGCUAGUGUUGCUAGAGGUUUGGCUUCUACAAGACUAGGAUAUGCCACAGGGUCCAUUUCUCCAUUCAGGUUCAAGGAUGCAGCAAAAUCAAUUUCUGCUGCUUCAGAUCAUCGGAUGCAUGGUAAAUUAGGCAUUAAUACAUUCACGCUUUUCUGUGAUAGUUCUUUGCAUUUUGGUUCAAGUUGUCAAAAUUUUAUUGGCCAAUUAGUUGCCAUGCUUCUGUAGUGCAUGGAAAGAAAGAAACAAUAGAGUUUU